CCACAGAGACGGUUCUAAUUGUUGAAGAACCCGCCUCAAAGCAGUACCACAGGUGCCCACUUGAUGCGCCAUGGUCCACCGUAUACGUGACAAGGAGCAGUUCUGUGCCACAGAUGCCAUCUUGCACCAUGCCCCCAGCUGCUGAUCACUUCUCACAGCAGCCAUCUUGAAGAGCACGCAAAUGUUGCCAGCGCUGAAGCUCCUUUGCGCCUGUCUGCUCUGCGGCGCCACAGGUAGCAACCACUGCUCUCAGUUGAGUGGCAGCACUUUCCACGUCCUGUUUCUGUAGGUGCUUGCAUGACAAUUGGCCGCGGACUGACUGAAUGGUCAAUAUGUUCCAGGUACUCAGAAGGAGGUGUGGCAGACGUCACAGUUGACGGUGAAGACCGGUCUCCCCAGCUGCAUGCGCUGCCGCCACCACCUCAACGGCAUCUACUUCUUCAUGUUGUGGUACCGACAGUCACCCGGGGCGGGUUUAAGGCACAUUGCCAUCAGCGCACCCUUCAUGAAACAAACAGAAUUCCUUGGAGAUUCCAGCCCGGACAAGUACACCAUCUCGCAGGUGGAGGCCGAGCAAGGGUCCCUUAGGGUGGAAAAGGUGCAGCCGGGCGACGGCGGAGUGUAUUUCUGUGCCGUCGGAAAGCUUCACUGUGCUUCACAUCUUUGGGAACGUGCACAGAAAACUGUAAGGUAACCAUGAACAGCUGCAGUGACCCACUUUACAGAACAUACACAUGAACAAAUGAGGACAUGGUAUCCCACAAAAAGGUGAACAUUGGUCAACACACGCACAAGGACUGAGUUGCCAGUGCCAUUAUUGGUCGGACAAAUAGACACAAGGCCUCUCUGUUAUUAAGUCCAAUGGACUCCAAAUUAAGGCUUUGACAGACACUAACUGUAACGUGGUGUUUCACCAAGCCACCUCAAAAUUUGGUACACACCUUCAGGCGGCU